UAACAUAGCAACACAUCCUGGCACAAAAGAAACAAUGUAACGUCUGCUGUCGUCAGUACUUCUCACAUUUACAUUUUUUUUCAAAUUGAACUUUAUAAAAUGGCUGCCUUUGCUUGUGAGAGAGAACAAAUCAUUUUAACUCUACCCAGCUUAUCUGGAUGUGUUCAGAAACCCUAUUUAGUAACACUGUGGAGUGCAGCACCAUAACAGUAUGAAAUGUCAAUGUUUUUGGGUUUGGAGCAGACAGAGAUGGAAACUGGAACCAUUACUUUGAAAUUCUCAAAAACAAACAGCUGAGAACUGGACCUCAUGCUGGAAUGCAUGAACAUGAAGUUAUUCUGAAAUUAAAGGAGCAGCAGAAAAUUGGUGUUUUUAGAGGAUGGUAAUUUCUUUCUCUGUUUGUGUCUUCCUUUAUUUGUCAGUGGCAUUAACAUGAGCACCAAGUACUUUAGCUUUAAGAGAGAAACGGAAGAUAAAUGUUUGGCAGUUGACUUGGCCUUUUAUUAGUUAGUUAGUAAUUAGUUCUGAGCCUAAAAAGAGAUUAUGAAUGGGCAGAAUAUCUA